CAGUCAGACAGACCCCAGCUGGCACUAGAGCUUUUCGGGGGGGGGCGUAGCUCACUCGGUGUGCUGAACAUAUUCCACGGUCUCCUUGCCCCACAAAAGGUUUUGAUUAAAACAUUAGCACUGGAAUAUCGUUGUGCAGCACAUUGUUGGGCGGUCACCCAAUAGUCAGGGUAAACCACCCGGCCUUUCCCAAUAAAUAGUGAGCUUGUGAGGGUCUCCCGAGGAUCUUCUUUUGUGUUAAAUGUCAGGAAGAUAAACAAUGUGUGGGAUGAACUUUAAUGAAACCAGGCAGCUGGGUUGUCAAGGCUUCAAGGGCUUGUGGCUGAGUUGCACGGGUUAGUAUCCAUGGUUACGUGGUGAAACCUGAAGACCCACAAAGCUGACCCUGGCUGAAUGGGGGGCCUUGGGGGGGGGUCUGUCUUCCUGCUCCAGUCUAGCCUGCAAGAUGGUCCCCUGCUCAGGUGCCCAGCUCAUCUGGCCACCUGGAUCCAAGACUAGACUACUGUAAUGCACUGUACAUUGGUCUCCCCUCAAAGGCAACUCAGAGACUCCAUUUGGUGAAGAUGCCACAGCCUAUUUCUUGUCGGAAGCUGCACGAAAUGGGCCUCCUGCUCCUCCCCUCCUGCACGGGCUGCCCAUCGGUUUCCAGGCUCAGCUCAAGAUACCGGCUGUCCUGUCCCUGGUCCUUUGUAUCUGCAGCGUUGCUGCUGUCCCUUGGCUCAACCACAGCAGUGGCCGUCAUCUGUGGAGGGCCAUCUGCCCGCGAUUCCUGGCAAAUGGACAAAAUCAACUGUGUCCUGGAAAGAAACACACCUUACCUUGACAUGCCUCUGAAGAUGCCAGCUGUAGCAUUAGGAGCUCCAACUACCCAACCACAGCUGCACAGCCUGGAAAACCCACCAUAGCCAAAAUCAACAAGCGUCCAUACACGUUUUCUUUCUGUUGUGGCCCACACCUAGUGGAGUGACCUGCCUGUGAAAGUUAGGAAGACCCUCACGCUCCCGGCUUCCUACAAAUCAUGAAAAACAGAAUUAUCCAGGAGGACCUUUUCACACCAGUGAGAGCUCCUUACGGUUCAGAAAAGUGGUUUGGUAAAGUGGUGAUGGCUGGAUUGUGUGACUGUGUUCUGCCUGUUACUGUAAAUAUGCUCCUAUAAUGUAAUUUCUACAUUUUUAAACAUGUCAUGUUUAAAUGCCUAGUCUGUGUUUUGGGUUUGUUUCAGAUCUGUUGCAGAUUUCUGCCAUCCAAACCCAAUCUUGCUGCUUACUGGAUGUCUCAUCCCUCUGACCGUAUUUAAUUUAUACUGUGUAACCCACCUUCCAUCUCAGUGGGAUGGAUUAUAAAUCGCCUGUUCCAUUCUGUGGAGUGGGGCGGGGCAUCCUGGAGCCCUAUGAAAGAGGAAAGAUGGCCGGGAAUAUUCAAUGAAGUUCCUGACAUUUGCAGCAACCCUGAAAAGAGCUCUCGUUUGCGUCACGGAGCCCAAAUGAAAACAGAUGUUCCAAACCUAAAAUAGAUGACUAUAUGCAAAACAGAUGCCAGUACAAACCAGUAUCUCCAUUACCAAACCCAGACUUCAAAUGUAAAAAUAGUCACAUGCUUCAACUACUCCA